GACGAACGCUGGCGGCGUGCUUAACACAUGCAAGUCGAGCGGACGGACGAGGAGCUUGUGUCGCUGACGAUUGCGGAGGACGGGUGAGUAACACGUGGAUCACCUCCCUAUAAGACUGGGAUAACCUCGGGAAACGGGAGCUAAUACGGGAUGAUCUUCUGAACCGUGUGGUUCAAAAGUGAAAGACGGUCGUGCUGUCUCGUAUAGAUGGAUACGGGCUGCAUUAGCUAGUUGGUAAGUUAACGGCUUACCAAGGCAACGAUGCAUAGCCGACGGGAGAGGGGGGUCGGCGGCACGAGAGCUGAGACGCGGACCAGACUCCUACGGGAGGCAGCAGUAGGGAAUCUGCGGCAGCGGGCGAGAGCCUUGCGGAGCGACGGGGCGUGUGUUAUAAAGGUCUUCGGAGCGUGAAACUCUGUUAUGAGGUGAAAACAUAUUUGUCAGUAACUGUACACAUCUUGACGGUACCUAAUCAGAAAGCCACGGCUAACUACGUG
rnacentral:rRNA from 1 species